rnacentral:snRNA from 1 species
UGUUGUUAACAGUUUAAUAUUUGGUAUGUCAUCUAUUUGGGGACUAUAUAUUAAAUGGAUUUUUGGCACUGGGAGAUGGAAUAGGGGUUUGCUCUGUCCACUCCACACAUUGAUGUGGUAUUGCAUAAUCUCCAGAAUGGUGC